CUUUGGUCUGCUGUAAAACUCCAUGUUCAGCUAAAAACAGAAUUUUAUUGGUCAGUCAGCAUCUGGGUACUUUAGGAAUAAUCCACCAAUGUGACAGAGCACAUGCAACACUGUGCAGCGUAUGGAUAGCAUGUUUAGGACUGGCCACUGUCUGCAGAGCAGGUCCAGACAGACUCAUUGGUCCAGCUGCAGCUGGUGGCGUGUCGGUGUUGAGCAUCAGCUCUUGUGUUGGCAGCUGUCAGUCUGUCUCCACCUGCCUGUGUGCUGGAUGGACUCUUUAGACUGUGGCAGGUCUUUAAACCGGCUGUUUGAAAGCUGGUUUUCUUGAUCAAAGCAGCAGCAAAUGUCAUAUGGAUAUAUCUUUUUAGACUUCAGAACUCCAGAACAUAUAUUUCCAAAAGACUCCAAGCUGCUCGGACCACCCCUCCCUGGAGCAGACCAGGAAAAAGCUACUUCGGACCACGGGCCCUGGCCGGGCCUGACCGACACACAAGCCAGCACCUGGGAGAAAAUUCUCGUCACCCUGGGGACAUGUCUGGACAAAUCAGAGUUAAGUCUGCUGUCUUAACCUCAGCGUGAGGAGCAGGAGGAAGAAAUCCUGCCACGCCAAAAACAGCUUUGUUUAUUUCUCCUCAGUCUUUACAGGGAAGUGAACCCCAGAAGGAGCUGGAAUGCCGACAAAGGGCCCGCUUUGGAAUGUGAGGAGAAUCUGCUUAAAUCAGACUGCAUCCAGGUUAGAGAACAUGGCAGAGACCAGGCCUCCGACCCCGACCACAUGUUGCUGCAGAGCUAAGCGCUAGCCAGCUAAGAGCAAACCAACAACUUUCCUGCUUUUAAGUGCUCCUUCCUCGGAUGGCCAAAGUGGACAAAACUCACACGAGGCAAAUGACAGGUGUGGCAGAGGGACCCAAAAUGGAAAGUUUAAAUGGUUCAUUUGGAAAAUGUUUGUAAACCGUUUGCACACGGUGUCUUUGAACAAAGGGGCUAACGGAGGUAGCUCAUUGCUAGCAUUCGGUACCAUGUCAUUGUCGAGUGUGUUUUUAUGGUUAUAACAAAGGUUAUCUCCACAAGGGUUUCAUAUAUUGAUGGGACAUUAAUGUUUACCUUAUCCAGCCCACUCAUUAUGACUAAAUAUAAUGAGCGGGCCGGAUCAACUUUAUAAAGUCUUUAAAGUUGAUGCCGAAAACCCGCUAGCCAAAAUGAUGUUAGCUUUGUUAACAUCCGGUUCCGGACAUGCAAAGGAGCUUGUUUUAAAGUAUAACGCUUGUUGUUUCGCUCCGCCGUCGGCCGAUAGAGCUAUGAGCCUUAUUCCCGCAUUAAUAUUGAAUAUUAAUGUCAGUUUAAACCUUAACCUUAUUUUCUUUGAGCAGCUGCUGGCCGUAAUGUCAUCUUCUGUGUUGUCCCUCAGCAAAAAAUAAUAAAAAAGAACCACUCCCAGGUUGGGUGGAAUCACCAA